rnacentral:rRNA from 1 species
GAUGAACGCUAGCGGCAGGCCUAACACAUGCAAGUCGAGGGGCAUCAUGGCGUAGCAAUACGCUGAUGGCGACCGGCGCACGGGUGCGUAACGCGUAUGGAACCUACCCACCGCAGGGGGAUAACCCGCCGAAAGGCGGACUAAUACCCCAUGGUUCCCCGACCCUGCCUGGGGUUGGGGGUAAAGCCUACGGGCGGCGGUGGAUGGCCCUGCGUGCCAUUAGCUGGCUGGCGGGGUAACGGCCCACCAGGGCGACGAUGGCUAGGGGGUCUGAGAGGACGAUCCCCCACACUGGGAUUGAGAUACGGCCCAGACUCCUACGGGAGGCAGCAGUCGAGAAUAGUCUACAAUGGCCGGAAGGCUGAUAGUGCGACGCCGCGUGAACGAGGGAGCCCUUCGGGUGUAAAGCUCUUUCGGCUGGGAAGAAAUCGCAUCUCCUAAUACGGGGUGUGGAUGACGGUACCAGCAUAAGAAGCACCGGCUAACUACGUGCCAGCAGCCGCGGUAAACAUA